rnacentral:rRNA from 1 species
AUAUCCGAUUAGCUAGUUGGUAGGGUAAAAGCCUACCAAGGCAUCGAUCAGUAGCUGGUCUGAGAGGACGACCAGCCACACUGGAACUGAGACACGGUCCAGACUCCUACGGGAGGCAGCAGUGGGGAAUUUUGGACAAUGGGCGAAAGCCUGAUCCAGCAAUGCCGCGUGAGUGAAGAAGGCCUUCGGGUUGUAAAGCUCUUUUGUCAGGGAAGAAACGGUGAGAGCUAAUAUCUCUUGCUAAUGACGGUACCUGAAGAAUAAGCACCGGCUAACUACGUGCCAGCAGCCGCGGUAAUACGUAGGGUGCAAGCGUUAAUCGGAAUUACUGGGCGUAAAGCGUGCGCAGGCGGUUUUGUAAGUCUGAUGUGAAAUCCCCGGGCUCAACCUGGGAAUUGCAUUGGAGACUGCAAGGCUAGAAUCUGGCAGAGGGGGGUAGAAUUCCACGUGUAGCAGUGAAAUGCGUAGAUAUGUGGAGGAACACCGAUGGCGAAGGCAGCCCCCUGGGUCAAGAUUGACGCUCAUGCACGAAAGCGUGGGGAGCAAACAGGAUUAGAUACCCUGGUAGUCCACGCCCUAAACGAUGUCUACUAGUUGUCGGGUCUUAAUUGACUUGGUAACGCAGCUAACGCGUG